rnacentral:rRNA from 1 species
GACGAACGCUGGCGGCGUGCUUAACACAUGCCAGUCGAACGGAAAGGCCCUGCUUUUGUGGGGUGCUCGAGUGGCGAACGGGUGAGUAACACGUGAGUAACCUGCCCUUGACUUUGGGAUAACUUCAGGAAACUGGGGCUAAUACCGGAUAGGAGCUCCUGCUGCAUGGUGGGGGUUGGAAAGUUUCGGCGGUUGGGGAUGGACUCGCGGCUUAUCAGCUUGUUGGUGGGGUAGUGGCUUACCAAGGCUUUGACGGGUAGCCGGCCUGAGAGGGUGACCGGCCACAUUGGGACUGAGAUACGGCCCAGACUCCUACGGGAGGCAGCAGUGGGGAAUAUUGCACAAUGGGCGGAAGCCUGAUGCAGCAACGCCGCGUGCGGGAUGACGGCCUUCGGGUUGUAAACCGCUUUAGCCUGUGACGAAGCGUGAGUGACGGUAAUGGGUAAAGAAGCACCGGCUAACUACGUG